rnacentral:rRNA from 1 species
GACGAACGCUGGCGGCGUGCUUAACACAUGCAAGUCGAACGAUGAACCCGGAGCUUGCUCCGGUGGAUUAGUGGCGAACGGGUGAGUAACACGUGAGUAACCUGCCCUUGACUCUGGGAUAACAGCGGGAAACUGUAGCUAAUACCGGAUACGACCCUCGGCGGCAUCGCCAGGGGGUGGAAAGAAUUUCGGUCAAGGAUGGACUCGCGGCCUAUCAGCUAGUUGGUGAGGUAACGGCUCUCCAAGGCGACGACGGGUAGCCGGCCUGAGAGGGUGACCGGCCACGCUGGGACUGAGACACGGCCCAGACUCCUACGGGAGGCAGCAGUGGGGAAUAUUGCACAAUGGGCGCAAGCCUGAUGCAGCAACGCCGCGUGAGGGAUGACGGCCUUCGGGUUGUAAACCUCUUUUAGUAGGGAAGAAGCGAAAGUGACGGUACCUGCAGAAAAAGCACCGGCUAACUACGUGCCAGCCGCCGCCGUAA